rnacentral:rRNA from 1 species
GAUGAACGCUGGCGGCGUGCCUAAUACAUGCAAGUCGAGCGAACGGACGAGAAGCUUGCUUCUCUGAUGUUAGCGGCGGACGGGUGAGUAACACGUGGAUAACCUACCUAUAAGACUGGGAUAACUUCGGGAAACCGGAGCUAAUACCGGAUAAUAUUUUGAACCGCAUGGUUCAAAAGUGAAAGACGGUCUUGCUGCCACUUAUAGAUGGAUCCGCGCUGCAUUAGCUAGUUGGUAAGGUAACGGCUUACCAAGGCAACGAUGCAUAGCCGACCUGAGAGGGUGAUCGGCCACACUGGAACUGAGACACGGUCCAGACUCCUACGGGAGGCAGCAGUAGGGAAUCUUCCGCAAAGGGCGAAAGCCUGACGGAGCAACGCCGCGUGAGUGAUGAAGGUCUUCGGAUCGUAAAACUCUGUUAUUAGGGAAGAACAUAUGUGUAAGUAACUGUGCACAUCUUGACGGUACCUAAUCAGAAAGCCACGGCUAACUACGUG